rnacentral:lncRNA from 1 species
CUAACAUGUAAAGUAGCAUAUGUCGUGCCUAAAAUUAUAAAUCCAUAGAUGAUUACCUAUCUCGGAGCAGCAUGUACAGGAAGCUGAAGUAUGACCAGCCUAACCAGUAGAGGAGCCUUAACUUUAGUCAUUUCACUCCAGACUUGUCCGAAAAUUUCAGUCUUCGAAAACCAAAGGAUUUUCUAUGGAGCUAGAGUAACAUGACUAAGAAUCGAAGUAGAAUUGAAUGCUUCUGUCUCCAGUUGUUAAAAGAAUAGCCAAGUAAUAAUUUGUCUUCUACUUUUUUAUGUCACUCAUGUCAAACUAAAACCAGGGAGUUUCUCAGGUCCUUUCUUCCUCGCUAUGAUUUUGAUCUUCUCCACAUCCUUCCACUUCCCUUGUCCAGCAUAUAUGUUGGACAAAAUAACAAAGGGAAUUGCGCUUUCAGGCUCCAACUCUGAAAGUCUCUUAGCCAUUUCUUCUUCCAGCUUGGAAUAUGAAUAAUACUUACAAGCCCCAAGCAAAGAAGCCAAAACAAAAGCAGAUCUUUCUGAUAUCCCUUGUUAUUCACAAGCUUCGCCCAGCCUGCCUGACCGACAAAGGAGAUCAAUCAUGAUAUUGAUUUGUUCGGGAGUUGGAUUUAGACUAUAGUCUUCAUUCAUCAAUCCAAAAAUCUGCCAUCCUUUUUCAAUUUGACCAGUAUGACUACAAACAGACAAAAAGCAAUUAGAAGUAACUAAUUUUGGCUCAACUUUGUUCUCGAUCAUCCGAUUGAAUAUUUCAAAAGCAGCAUCACUCUCCCCAUUCCUUUCAUACCCAGAAAUCAUAGCAUUCCAGAGUCAGUAGUAGUGCCAAUCGGUUGACUGCUGUUGGAACUCACAAUUUCUUCACUAAGGUCAUUAGUGUAUAGUAGCAAACUCACAAAAACAUCUGUAAAAAGAGGGAGAUGACUACGAAGUUGAGGAAACGAGCCCGUACUACUGAACAACUUAUUCUCCCAAAAGGUAACAUGAUGUGAAACUCGAAGAGGCUGGUCAAUAGGGUCACAACAACAACUUUUAUGUUCAAUACCAUAUCCUAGAAAACAUCACAAACGAGAACAAGGUUGUAACUUUCUAUGUUCAUGAGGUUGAAGAACAAAACACACACCCCCGAACACCACAAGCGAGUGAUAAUCAGGAAUUUUCCUAUAGAGCAACUCAUAGGGCGACUUAUGGUGUGUGACAGGCGAAGGAAUACGAUUGAUUGUGUAAAUCGCAGUGAGAACAGCUUCAUCUCAAAACGAUUCUGGAAUAGAAGAAGAAAGAUAUGGCGAUGCUUGCGCUCAGCACACCCAUUCUGUUGAAAGGUGCUAGGACAAGAGUGAUGGGGAAUCGUGCCAUUUUGUUUUAAAGUGACAAGAAAAGAGGAUUCUCUAUACUCCUUGGCAUUAUCAGAUCGAAAAAUUUUAAUUGAACGAGAAAAUUGAGUUUG